rnacentral:tRNA from 1 species
GUCCUUGUAGCUUAUAACAAAGCAUGACACUGAAGAUGUCAAGAUGGAUGCCCGACACACCCAAGGACA